rnacentral:tRNA from 1 species
GCCUGGCUGGCUCAGUCAGUAGAGUGUGCGACUCUUGAUCUCGGGGUUGUGAGUUCGAGCCCCACACUGGGUG